rnacentral:rRNA from 1 species
UACGAAGGGGGCUAGCGUUGCUCGGAAUCACUGGGCGUAAAGCGCACGUAGGCGGCUUACUAAGUCAGGGGUGAAAUCCUGGAGCUCAACUCCAGAACUGCCUUUGAUACUGGUGAGCUUGAGUCCGGAAGAGGUGAGUGGAACUGCGAGUGUAGAGGUGAAAUUCGUAGAUAUUGGGAAGAACACCGGUGGCGAAGGCGGCGACCUGGUCCGAUACUGACGCUGAGACGCGAAAGCGUGGGGAGCAAACAGG